AAUCAACGCUGGCGGCGCGCUUAACACAUGCAAGUCGCACGAGAAAGUGGAGCAAUCCAUGAGUACAGUGGCGCACGGGCGAGUAACACGUGGGUAACCUGCCCUUGAAUGGGGAAUAACCCGGGGAAACCUGGGCUAAUACCGCAUACGCUCCUUUUGGCUCACGCCAGGGGGAGGAAAGGCGCAAGCCGUUCGAGGAGGGGCCCGCGGCCGAUUAGCUAGUUGGUAGGGUAAUGGCCACCAAGGCUUUGAUCGGUAGCCGGCCUGAGAGGGCACACGGCCACACUGGCACUGAAACACGGGCCAGACUCCUACGGGAGGCAGCAGUGGGGAAUCUUGCACAAUGGGGGAAACCCUGAUGCAGCGACGCCGCGUGAGCGAUGAAGCCCUUCGGGGUGUAAAGCUCUUUUGGCGGGGAAAAUUAUGAUGGUACCCCGCUNAAUAAGCUGCGGCUAACUACGUGCCAGC
rnacentral:rRNA from 1 species